GCAGGGAUAGCCAAGCGGUCAACGGCGGUGGACACAAUCGAGAGCACAUAAUUUGUUCUUGAGCCACACUCAAGAUCCAUUGACAUAGGUCUACAGGGGUUCAAAUCCCCUUCCCUGCA
rnacentral:tRNA from 1 species